GUAGGAAUAUUGAGAGGAUCUGUCCCUAGUACGAGAGGACCGGGAUGGACGUAUCUCUGGUGGACCUGUUGUGGCGCCAGCCGCAUAGCAGGGUAGCUAUAUACGGAACGGAUAACCGCUGAAGGCAUCUAAGCGGGAAACCGACCUCAAAACGAGUAUUCCCUGAGAGCCGUGGUAGACGACCACGUUGAUAGGCCGGGUGUGGAAGAGCGGCAACGCUUGAAGCUUACCGGUACUAAUAACUCGAUUGGCUUGAUUGUUCUCAUU
rnacentral:rRNA from 2 species